GGUCCCGGGAACCCAGCCAUCGCGCUGCCGGAAGUGGCCUGGCCGGCGGUACGGAACCCGGAAGCGGGCCGGCUCCCCGCUCGGGGCUGCCAUGUUUCCCCGCGGCCUCCCGCCCCCGACCCCACCUCCCCGACCCCACCUCCCGGCGCGAGCCUCCCGCAGGACGUCGUCGCGCUCAGCGAGGCGCGCACUUGGCCAGCGAGACGCCGGCCCAUCUCCGCCCGGCACGCUGCGUUACGCCCUGAGGACCCGGGCCGCUUGGGACUGGCUUAGUACAAGCUGGAAGGUCAACAAAGCACCUUUCUCCAAGCCAAGAGGCAGUUUGGUUUUGAGGACUCAACAGAUCAUGGAGUUGGAAUCUAGAAUACAAACAUUCUGGGGAGAAAAAAAAAAACCACUGUAAACCAAAGAUCCAGGACUGGAUGUCACAAGAGAACACAAAAAUGAAAGAAAGCAUGGCUUCCACCACAACAAAAUCCCUUCUGGGUCUGCUGAUGAAGAAUGAAAUUCUUCCUGCACCUCCAAUCACCCGACAUGGCAUUUUCAGCAAAUUCUUCAGAGUGAAGUUUAAAUUCAGAAGCCCAGCCCCAGGGGCUACGGGUCAUUUGUGCUUUAGUUAGUAGAAAUAAUGAACGGCUGGUGUGCUCUGAGAUUUCUAACUUUAUAUUUCUCCUUAGUCCAAAUUGAAACAUAGGGGCUGGAGUUGUGGCUCAGUGGCAGAGUACUUGCCUACCAUAUGUGAGGCACUGGGUUCGAUCCUCAGCACCACAUACAAAUAAAUAAAAAAUAAAGGUACAUCAACAACUAAAAAAUACUUAAAAAACAACAACAACAAAAAAAAAAACAUAGCCCUUCUUUUAAUCCAUAAGAUGAUUCAACCAAAACAAAGAGGUUGUGGCUGACAAGUGGGUAGGAACCUUAAUGCGUCAAGAACUGCACUUGCAUUCUAGUUGAUUUCAUGCUGCAUUUCAGAAUCUCCAGGCUGUACAAGGUUGGGGUGGCAGACUUCAGAGGAAAAGCUGAAGAAAGUAGCUAGAUCCUCCUGAAAACAGCACAGGCCAAUGCAUCCUCUCAAGAGGAUCAGAUUCAACACAAAUUCCCCUUAUCAACUGCUCCUGCUUUCUGCAAGGGAGAGAACUUGACAACCUCAAAUCUCCUUUUCAAAUACUUAAAUUCUCUCCAAGUGCUAGACUGAUUUUCAGAUAUUAAUAUAAGUCCAAAGUCUGGCCCACCUUUAGACAGAAUGCAGUGCUCAUUUCCUUUCCUUACCCUUACUUCCUUUGAUGUGUUCUAGGAUCUGUGCUCCUUUCCCCCCUCCUCCCUUGUUUUUGUAAAUAUCAUUCCAUAGGUUACUUCCCUUCAUGAGAAAUGGAAUAUCGGUCUUUAACCCUACCUUCCUCUUUACAAAGGUGGGUAUUGGAUACAGAAUUAAGCUUGACUUUUCCAGGAGAAACGGAUCUAGUCUUAAUUGUGGCACUAUGAUCUACCUAGAUCAAAACAAAAAUUUUUUGUUCUAGAUCAGAACAAAAAUUUAAAAGUUCAAUACAGUUUCCAGUAAAAUAAAAAUUUCAUCAGUACUACCUAAAAUUCAAAAGAAAAUACAAACGUUAUGUCUGGCAAGGAUUUAUUAGGAAGCUUAUUAGUCACAGUGAAUAAAAGCCAUGAACAGAAGAACUCAAGAGCUUAUCUCCAAAUUCUGGCAUUGGGCUUACAACACAAAUUAGAAGCUAAUAAAACAUUAAGGAGAUUCCAAAGGGAAUUUUAACUAAGUCUCAGUCUUACCCCAACCAGGUUACCCACAAACACAAAUGAUUCCCAUGCUCUCCCCAGACUGCUUAGCUUGGCAGUGGGAAAGAUCUUCCCCCCCCAAGCUAUCACACAUCAUCAGGAGACUCCUGCCUUUCAAGCUAUAACCACGGGACACUGUGCAUGACGGACAACUCCAAGCUAGGCAACUUGACAAGAAUGCUGAGUAACAACAGGGAGAAGGAACAAGCAGGGACAAGUAUUUCUAGUUGGAGACCCUCCUGAUAGCUCACACAAACAAAAUCCUGAUGCUUCGGGUUUCCUGCAGCUCAGGAAGAGUUUCCAUUUAAAAGAAAAAGAAAAAAUCACAUAAAAAUCCUGCCACAAAGCAACAAGACACUUGGGAUCCCAUGGCCACAUCAACGGAAAAAGCAAGCAUUAUCCAUGACAGCCAGAUGCCACACAACCUAAGACCCAAUUUCUGCAGUGCCCUAGAGAACCACGAUUGUCCCUCAGCACCCACACAACCCUCACAGUGGUGUGGUAUCUUCCAUAGGCUGGAUUUCUGCAGCAAGCCCCAAAGAGAAAACGCAGCAGAGGCUGUGGCAACCAACUCUCACUGGAGCCUCAUCUCUGUCCUUCCCAACAGGUGGUACGUCUUCACUGACUGCACAUCUGUGGGAGCCUGGGCGGCCAGCCCUUAGGAAAUGAAGUGUGUCUGUGGGGUAACCUGAUGGACCCGGUGGUCUGCCGGGUUGGCUGAUGCUUCAUAAUUGCAGAUGGUCACUUCAUGUCGGCGAAGCUGCAAGAAAAUGGAGAUGCUGGGUAGGUGGGCCAUUAAGAAACUGUGGCUUCCCAGAACACACACUGGAGUAGUCUAUAGUCAGUCUCCUUUCUAGCAGAUGUCUCAAAGCUCCUCUCUUCUGACAUUUUUUUAUCUUGAGAAAUUUGCAAAGCUCAUUAUUAAGGUUUCACUUGCAACUGAGAUCCAUUCCCCACACUGUAAUGAGGGCACUAUGAGAAUAGGAGCUUGUUUAUCUUAUCAUCUUAUCUCUGGUACUUAGAACAAGGAUUAUCAAGAAUGCUUUUUGGUUUUGUUUGGUGCAGGAAGGGCCUUGAACAUGCUAAGCAUGCUCAAACACCGAGCUAUACUUCCAGUGCCCUGCUGAAAUUGCCAAAGGAAAAAAUUUGAAAGUGAAAAACUGUGAAUUAACAUAAAUUAUGUAAUUUCAAUUUUAAAAAUACCUAUAGUCUGUCAAAUGGGAACAUUUUAUAAUGAAGAAACCAAGAAAAUUUGUUUCGUUUGCUCUUUCCUUUCCCUUAAAAGCCCCCACUCUGAUGGUGUGCUGAUAUGUUUUUAUCAACCCCCCUCUUACCUCAGUCCAUUCUCCUCUCAGGCCAAUAUAAAAGACCUUUGUGGUAUCUGCUCCAAAAUUUUUUGAAAUAUGAAUCGAGAGAUGAUAGACAUUUGAAAAACGGGAAAUUCUAGAGGAUGAAACAAGAAAGAAGACAAGACACAGGUUACUGUCCAGUGAGCACCUCACAACCAGGGCACAACAGUUCAGCUCCAACAUAUGGUAAAACCCAGGCAAAUGUAAGGGAUCAAUCUUGGGUUCUUCCUCCUCAUUUUUCUCCUUUGGACAAUCAAUUCAUUCAGUGAAUCUUUCCUGAGCCAUCGCCAUAUCCUGUCCAAGGCAGCAGAGACACAAAGAUGAAUAAACACUGCUCCUCCCCUCAAGGGAAAAGGAAUGAGAAAUGCUGUGUAACUGGGCAGGGGUUCUGAAGCAUGCUUAGUGUUGAUCUAAGCCAUAGGAGAAAGAAAACUAAGUGAGCCUGCUAUAGGCCCACUAUGCAAAGAGGAAUUCCAAAAAAACAUUUCCUAAGACUAUCCUGGGAGCUCAUGCAGAUCUGCCAAUUGCUUACAAGUUCACAAGUCUGUGGCCUACACUGAUUUUCUGCCCCAAACUGACCAAGCCAAGGAUCAAGAUGCCUCCUCCACUUUUUAAACUCAUCUCUGAUGCUAAGAGGGCAGGAGAGUGGCCAAAAAUAAAUGGUAAGCUCUGUAAGCACUGCUGCAUAUGAGGAUAUGCUCACUGCAAACGAGAAGGUGCUACUGUUCCUCAGCAGGAGUGGAAGGCAGGUCCCAUGCUUACUUUGUAGCAUAUUCUAAUUCUCCAGUAAGAUCCCGGUUCAGACUAAAGGUCUGAUCUGGCUCCCUUUCUGUAUCAUCAAACGACAUCUGUGGAAUGUUCUUGUACCUGAGAAAGGAAAGGGGGGGGGGGGAAAAUCAAGAAAUGUGCACUAUCAGUUUUCAGGGUUUUUUUUAAGACUUCCUAUUGACUGCUCAACUGACUUUACUUCAAUUCCAUCUAAAGGAGAUAAAAAUUUGCAGUCAAAUUUUGGAAAUGGCAUUUUACUGAAAUUUAGACAUAAAUAUCCUUAAACCAACAAGAAACAGUAGUGUACACCAAUAGUCCCAGCUAUUCAGGAGGCUGAGGCAGGAGGAUUCACGUGAGCCCAGGGAUUCAGGGACAGCCUAGGCAAGAUAUUAAGAUACCUGUCUCCUUAAAGAAAGAGAGAGAGAGAGGAAGAAAAAAGAAAAGAGCUGAGAACUGCAACAUGAUCCAGUGGCAUCUCUGAGUGGGUUAAGAUCACAUGAGAAGCAAUACACAAAGAGGAGGCUCAAACUAGGUCACGUGCAGCAAAUGCAUGGAGAAAAUAAGCCACUCAGCACAUUCAUACCAAGCUGAGGAUGUGAAAUAAAACAGCCUACUCAUGGGAAAAAAGACACACUUUGGCAGAAGCAUAUUAAACAGUUAAGAGAUAAGAUCAGGUAACCCAAUAUUCAAGCAUUUUUUGUUUCUAAAAAUUACCCCAUACACUCAAUCAUCUUACAGUUCUUAAAAUAAUACAAUUUAGGGAUUUCCGAUUCCAAAGAGCACAAAAGCCUGCAAACUUGCAAAAGGCUUUGGCAAGUCAAGGUAUCACUGCAAUUUAAGAAAAUAUUUUUCAAAGGAAAAUCUAAGUAAUAGCAGUUUCUACAAAUUCUGCAGGACUAAGCCACAUACACCCACCAACAUGAAGGUGUUUUUAUUAACAUAUCUACAAAGGAAAGGCCCAGACUUCAGCAGCAGCAAAAUGCAUAUAAUUUUAAAAAGCAAAUGUUUGCUUCAAAGUGUUUCUAAGAAUGAUGCACAGCAGAAUGAUAAUAAUGAACAUUUAUGAGCAGUACUAUGAGAGCUAGUGCAGCUCUACAGUUAAAAGCAGUGUCUCAGGCUGGGGGGUGUAGCUCAGAAGCAGAGUGCUUGCCUAGCAUGCCAGAGGCCCUGGUUCAAUCUUCAGCACUGGAAGGAAAAAAAAAUAGUGUCUUAACCUAUAGGAUUGCAGAAAAUAUUUGUGAUCUAUUCAUUAGUUAUCAUAAGGGAUUAAUGGCAAGAAUACAUAUGGAACAACCCAACAGCAAAAACACAAAUAAUUCAAUUAAAAAACAGGCAAAUGAACUUGUAGUACACGCCUAAAAUCUUAGCUACUUGAGAGGCUGAGGCAGAAGAAUCAAAACUGAGGCCAGCCUGAGCAACUUAGUGAGACACUAUUUCAAAAUAAAAAAUAAAAAGAGCUUGAGAUAUAGCUCAGUGGUAGCAACCUCAGGUUCAAUCCCCAGUACUGGGAAAAAAAGGGGGCAGGCAAAAGAACUGAAUAGAGUUUCUCAAAAGAAGUUAAAGGGCCAACAAAUAUAUGAAAAAAUGCUCAAAAGUACUACCCAUCAGGCAAAUAGAAAUCAAAACCACAACGAAGGGCUGGGGAUGUGGCUCAAGUGGUAGCGUGCUCGCCUAGCAUGCAUGAGGCACUAGGUUUGAUUCUCAGCACCACAUAAAAAUAAAAUAAAGAUAUUUUGUCCACCUAAAAAACUAAAAAAAAAAAAAAGUAUUAAAAAAAAAAAAAAAAAACACAACGAGAUAUCAACUCACUUCCAUUAGGAUGGCUAUUAUCAAAAAUCCAGAAAAUAAAUGCUGGUAAGGAUGCACAGAGAAAGGAGCUCUUCCACAUGUUGGUGUGACGGAAAACAGUAUGAACAAUCCUAUAGACAGAGAACUACUAUAUGAUCCAGCAAUUCCAUUAUGGGGCAUAUAACAAAAGGAAAGGAAUCAGUACGUUAAAGAGACAUCCAUACUUCUAUGUUCACUGCAGGGCUGUUCACAGCAGUCAAGAUAAGGCAUCAAUCUAGGUAUCCAUCAGCAGGUGAAUGGAUGAAGAAAAUGUGAUACAUACACUCACACACACACACAUAUGUGUAUGUAUGUAUAUGUGUGUGUAUAUAUAUAGAUACAUAUACAUACACUAUGAACAUUAAGUGAAUUACAGCAAAGAUAGACAAAUAUUGCAUGUUCUCACUUAAGAGUGUAAGCUAAAAAGUUGAUUUCAUGGAAGUAGGUAGAAUGGUUAGAGAUCGGGAAGAGUGAGGGAAGAGGGAAUGAAGAUAGGAUGGGUAAUCAGUAUAGGGAUACAUUGGAUAGGAGGAAUACUACUAAUGUUCUUCUUUUUUUUUUUUUGGUACCAGAGAUUGAACUCAGGAGUGCUUCUAUUACUGAGCCACAUCCCCAGUCCUUUCUAUUUUUUUAUUUUGAGACAGGGUCUCACUAAGUUGCUGAGGGACUUGUUGAGUUGCUCAGGCUGGCCUCAAACUUGCAAUCCUUCUGCCUCAGGCUCCUAAAUCAACGAGAUUACAGGUGUGCAUCACUGCCCAGAUUCUAAUGUUCUUAAUAGCACAGUAGGAUAACUAUAGUUGAUGACAAUUAGUUGUAUAUUUCAAAAUAGCUAGCAGAGAAUAUUUAAGGUUGGGGGGAUGGGAAGGGUAAGGCUGCCUGGGAUUGAACCUAAGGCUUCAUGCAGGCUAGGCAAGUGCUCUACUACUGAGCUACAUCUGCAGCCCUAGUGAUAAUUUUGAAUGUUCCCAACACAAAGAAAUGGCAAAUGUUUAAGGUGAUGGUUAUAUCAAUGAUCCUGAACAUUUGUGUGUAUGAAAUAUACUGUACUCCAUAAAAAUAUGCACAAUUAUUUUGUUUUGUUUUGUUUUGUUUUAAAGAGAGAGUGAGGGAGAGGGAGGGGGAGAGAGAGAGAGAGAGAGAAUUUUUUAAUAUUUAUUUUUUAGUUCUCGACGGACACAACAUCUUUGUUUGUAUGUGGUGCUGAGGAUUGAACCCGGGCCGCAGCGAGCGCGCUACCACUUGAGCCACAUCCCAAGCCCUGCACAAUUAUUUUGUGUCAAUUAAAAUAAUAAUAAAGAUUAAAAAGAGAUAAAUAGCAGUAUCUCUGGAGCUACACUUCUAGGUCUAAAGCUGGCUGUCACUUACCAGCUGUGUAAUUUUGGACAAGUGAUUUAACCUCUCUGUGUCUCAGUUUCCUCAUCUGUAAAAUUGGGAUAGUGACAAUACAUAGUCCAAACAGUUGAUAUGAAGAUUAAAUUGGAUCAAUUCUAAGAGUUGCAUAUAUUAAAACUUAAAAUUUUAUGAAAAACUACAUUCACAAAAGCAGACAGAAAAUAAUGAACUACAUACCUUACUACUCAGCUUAAUUAACAAAUUUAUGCUGAUUUUGCCUAUCACCCCUAUUUUGUUUUUGUUUCAUAUUUCAGUGCAAUCCCAGAUAUACCAUUUCACCCAUAAAUACUUUAGUAUUUCUGAAUAAAACUUUUAAAAAUAUUUUUUUUAGCUGUAGAUGGACACAAUACCUUUAUUUUAUUAAUUUAUUUUUAGUGGUGCUGAGGAUUGAAACCAGUGCCUCACACAUGCCAGAACAGUGCGCUAUCACUGAGCUACAACCCCAGCCCUGAAAAAGAUUUCUUAAAAAAAAAAAAAAAGAUGCUAGGGCUGGGGCUAGAGCUUGGUGGCAGAGAGUUUGCCUAGCAUGUGUGAGGCACUGGGUUUGAUCCUUGGCAUUGCAUUAAAAAUUAAACAAAAUAAAGGCAUUCUGUCCAUCUUCAACUACAAAAUUUAAAAAAAAAAGAUAUUCUUUUACAGUAAUUAACAAUAUUAAUAAUUAGCCAAGCUAACAACAAUUCUUUCUUCUCUUUCUUUUAUGGUACUCAGGUCAAACCUGGGACCUUGGGUAUGCUUGGCAAGCACUUUACUACUGAACUAUUUACCCUCUGCAACAGUAAUUCUUUAAUAUCAUCUAACAUCUAUACUUGGUAUUCACAUACUUCGAUUUAAGAUUCUCAAUUUAGCUGGGCACGGUGGCAAACCCCUAUAAUUCCAGCAACUCAGGAAGCUGAGGCAGGAGGAUCUCAACUUUGAGGCCAGCCUCAGCAACUUAGCAAGACCCCAUCUCAAAACUCAAAAAAAAAAAAGGACUAGGGAUGUAACUUGGUGGAAAAGCCCCCCUGGGUUCAAUUCCUGGUAUCCCCCAAAAUUCUUUUUUUUUUUUUUUUUAAAGAGAGAGAGGGAGAGAGAGCCCAAAAUUCUUAAUUUAACUUUUUUGGAUGUGUCAAUGAUAUGUCAUUGCUGACCAGGAAUCAUUGUUUCUUUUUAUAAACUCUACCUAAAAUAAUAGUGUGUUUACAAUGACAUCUUAGAUUCAGAGAAAUGUUAUAUAUGUAGUGUGUUAGAACUAUUAAGUAUUUGUACCUGCUCACCCAAAAACUGGGCCUGUAUUAUGUUCCAGACCUAUUCUAAGUUCUUUACAUGUUGGAUCUCCACAACCUCGAGGUUAUACUCUUAUUCUUCCUAUUUUACCUGAGAAAAUAGGCAUGAAGUUAUGUAAUGUCCUAGUCAUGCAGCAGCUAGCCAGUAUGCAGCCAGAAUUUGAACCCAAUUUACCUCACAGCCCACUCUUAAUCCAAAGCAACAGGGAUAUCCUGAAGUCAGCCCAUCUUCCUAGUAACUGAGUCUCCAAAAGCAUCAGUCCAAACAAACAAUUUUUUUAAAAUGACUGCAUGUAUAAAUCUGCUUUUAAAUUUGUUUUAUAAUACUUAAAAAUGGUAUCAAGUUAUCAAAUCUCUCUAAAGUCCAUUUAAACUGGAUCAAUUUUUCAGAUUAAAAAAAUUUUUUUUCCUCUUUUUCUUACAGUGCUGAAGAUCAAACUUGGGGCCUCAGGCACACUAAGCACACACUCUAUCAUUGGGCACCAUCUUGGAUAAAAAAAAAAAAAAAAAAAAAGAUUUUUUUGCGGGGGAGGUGGUGGUAUUGGACUCAGCAGCACUCUACCACUGAGCUACAUUCCCAGCCCUUUUUAUUUUUUAUUUUGAGUCAAGAUCUCACUAAGUUACUUAGAGCCUCACUAAGUUGCUGAGGCUGCUCUCAAACUUGCAAUACUUCUGCCUCAGCCUCCUGAGCUGCUGGAAUUACAGGCAUGCACCAUCACAAUCCAGCUGGAUGGUUUUUUUUUUAAUGUAAAAUUAUUCUGUUAUUUGUUUCUCAGAACUCAGAAAAAAAUUUUUCCUCUUUUAGACUACACUUGAAAAAAGUAAGUUGUCUAAAAGGAAGUACUAACUCUGGUGGCAACAGAUCUAGUGUCAUAAAAGAUACACAGAACUUAGCCAUAUAAAGGCACACAAACUCAGACAAAGCAAUCUCAUGUCAACAUAACAUCUGCAAAGAUGACGACUGAGUGAAAUACCAAGGAACAUUUUGAAGCUCAUCCCAAGAGUGGAAUCCAUAAAGAUCGUUUGAGAUCUGCAGCUGGGUUAUUAAGAAAACUGCAAAGUCAUCAACAGUUGGCAUUUAUAGAAUGCUCUCUGAAUGAAUGAUGCCACAGUACGCACUUUGAAAAUGAGACAAGCUGUUGGCCCUGAAGAUGUUUAAUCUAAACAAGUCACUGGGAUGGGGAUGUAGCUCAAUGGUAGAGUGCUUGCCUAGCAUGUGUGAGGCCUUGGGUUCAAAAAUAAAGAAAUAAAAAAUAAAGAGAUAAGUGUAUUCCCACAUAAAUAACAAGAUCAAAAGGGAGAAUAUCAAAUCUAAUAAAGAAAAAUUAUAUUUUAAGAGGGAGAAUAUCAAAUCUAAUGAAGAAAAAUUAUAUUACUAUGGAAUAAAGUGUUACUAAAGAAAGAAAUAGAACUAAAAGGUUCUUGAGGGCCUAAGCCUGUCCACUUACAGUCUCAUCUCAGAGGGGUGUGAGUCAUCAUCCUCUCCCAUUAUAAUGAUGCCUUUGAGCUUGACAUUGCCCGUAAAUCUGCCAGAAUGCAAAAGAGAAGGUUGUCAACCUGGGAUUGUAUCCCUACUUAGCUGUGUGACCCCUAGUCAAGACCCUUCCCCUUUCUGACCUUCAAUGUACUCAUCUGUCAGACUUGUACUUGAUCAUUUCUAAGAUCAUGUCCACCUCUGGCAUUAUGCAAUUCUAAGAAAUUUACAUCUACUUUUCAGUUAUUGCUCAACAAAUAUAUCUGCUUCCAGUUUGCAUCAAAAGAGUUAUGAUGCUCUCCUCCUAAAACCCACCAAAGUAUUAUCCCAUUUCUACAAACAGAUGUGUGCUCUUGACCCAAGCAAUGAAUGAAUCCAUCUGAGAAGACAAUUGUGUACAGCCUAUUUAGCCUGAAGCAGACACCAAGGAGAUACUUACGGAAUAUUAAACAGAAGCUCUUCAUCUGCAUCACUUUCAACAAACUGGAGAGAAUGGGGAGGAGGGAGGAGAAAGCAACAAAUAUUUGCUGAGAGCCUAUGUCUUCAGGCAUCUCCCACCCUGUUCUGCAAACUGGAGUACAAUGCAGUCAACCUUCCUCGGUUUUCCAGGACUUAUUAAUUUGAAACUAAUAUGUCUAUCCACAGAGUUCUGAUAAAGACCAUCCAAUUAGAGGUUUCCUAACCCGGAGUCUCCUGAAUUACAAAUUGAGAGAUCAGUGCUCAUGUGCAUUUUUCUGGAGAGGGUCCAUAACUUUCAACCGGCUUAGCUCUCAAGGGGGCCUGCGCUCUAGAUCGGAAACACCCAUGGUCUCCCUUGCCCGUCCUCACCAGGUGACACGAUCACGCAGCCACUGGGACCAAUGGUCAAACAGAAGGGAAAACGCCCUCACGGCCAUCCUCCUCCUAACCCAGGCAGCCUUGGAACACAGCGUUACGCUGUGUAGAGCCAAGCGCCCGCUUCCACUCUCCGGGACUCAGUUUCCGUAUCUGCAAAGCGGGGAAGAUGGCCCUGCUCGCCUCCCAAAAGGCAAGCGCGAGGCCGGCAGCGGAAAGCGCCUGGCGACCUGGCUGUCGUUAUUUUUAGCAUCAAGAGUGAGGCUGACAGAGCAGCCGGGUGUCCGAAGGCCCCGCGGAUCCCGCCCCGCCCGCCCCGGCGCCGGCAGCCCACCUUGGAGCGGUCUGUCCGCUCCUCCCACGGCUUGAAGACGCCGCGGCCGCUGCCCUCGCGGCUCUCGUUGAGGCACUGCAGCCGCUCCAGGUCGAUGCGCAGGUACAGGCCGUAGGCCAGGCCGCGCUGCUCCGGCGGCUCCUCCCGUUCCGCGGCGCAGCGACAGCCGCCCCCGCCGUGGCUGUGGCCAUGCGACAUGGCGACGCCGCCACCCGCGCGUCCCCUCGGCCCCGCUGCCGCUCGCGCAGCUCUCUCCCGGCUGCCCUGCGGCCGCCAAGCGCAGUGUCUGACGCGUCGUAAAAGGCGCCCCUGAGCGGCGCAUGCGCCCGCUGGGGAGGGGGCGUGGAUGUGGGCGUGGCUACGAUGGGCGUGGUUCUGAUGGGAAUGGCUCGGGCGGACUUUGACAGGCGUCUUCCUAUCAACACCGGCUUCAGAGCCGUGGAAACCGAAGGGUAGAGAUGCUGCUGGUGUUAUCAGCAGACUGUGGUGCGGGAUUCGAAUCCCUCUCCCCGAGAUUGAAGUCUGCGCUUUCUUCUUCAGCUGCCACGUUUCACUGGAGCUGGUGGAGCAAGGCGCGCGGAGUGCUAAGGCCCUGAGCUCUUACCACGGCUCUUAUCAGUGCCUCACACGUGCGCUCGGGCGUGGAGAGUUCACACACCCAAUUUCCCAACCACGUUCUUGAUAGCGGGCUUUGUGGACCUCCUGACCCGGAGACAAGUGCUAGGAUGGUAUGACGCUCUGAAUAAGUCAUUUACCCUAUUCUGAGACUGUUUCCUUGUCUGUAAAGUGGGAAGAAUAUUAAAUGAAAUAAUGCGAUUCAAGAUCCCAGAGUGAUGACUGACACAAGAAUAGAAUGCUCUGUGAUAGAAAGAGGAAAACCAGGAUCCCAGGAAGUUCUGAGAUACUCUGAACUUCACAGCAGGCUCAGGAGUGCCACGACCAGAACCCACCAUGUGCAGCCUCAGCUGGAGCCAAGAACCAUGUGCCUGCAUGGAGAGGAACACCACACUGUGGCUCCCUAUCCACCAAAGUGUGACUGCACCCAAACCACCUACAUCUUGGGACAUUACAGCCACAGCCAUAGCCCUUUCCACAUGGUAAUCUCCACUGUGGGACAAUGGACAGGGCCAGGAGGCAGCUGUCUGCUGCAGCACUGCGUGCCACACUGUGCCAUCACCGAACAGGCUGCCCAAUGCUAUCACACAGCCCAUCCUCCCAGCCCCAUCUGUGAAAGUGGAUGCCUCCAUCUUGGGACACCUCAACUGCCAUAUUGGGUUACCUCCACUGCCACCUCCGCCAUAUUUAGUUGGGGCAGAUUCCAUCUUGGGACACCAACUGAGGCCUGGAACCCCAAUAGCAAGGUACCUACAGGCUUGAUGCUAUUGCUGCCACCAACUAGGAAUGUGGCCACUUCUAUCUAGGGACAAUAACCAGGAACUGUAAGACCAUCACCAAGGUCUCUGGGGGCCCAGUGGCACCAGAAGUAUCCCUAUUAGGUGUGCUAACAGUCACCAUCCUGUUGCAGAGGCAACAGGGAGCCUUGCAUAGGGUAGCCUCUCUCUCCUUUUUUUUUCCCUCCUGCUAACAGCCAACUUCUGUUGAUUUCCCUUUCACUCUUCCUAUAAUCUAAUACCUCUAUAUUCUCACAUCCUACCUCAUAAACAUCACAUCCUACUCCCUUCCCUCUCUCUCUCUGUUCACCACUACAAACUCUAAACCCUAUUCAAACCUACUGCCUUUAUGGUAGAAGAUAACCAAACUCAUCAUUUCUGUUUAUAGUGGCAAAACUGUAUCUAAAUAGAAGCUAAUUGAUUUAUAGCUGCAUAGUUGCAUCGGGUGCUGUACACGUUGAUCUUUCUUUCUUUCUUUCUUUCUUUUUUAAAGAGAGGAGAGAGAGAGAGAAUUUUUUAAACAUUUAUUUUUUUUUUAGUUAUUG